rnacentral:tRNA from 1 species
GGUUGUUUAGCUCAGUCGGUUAGAGCAUCGUGCUAAUAACGCGAGGGUCGCAGGUUCGAGCCCUGCAUCGACCA